CCUGUAACCAUUGUUAAUGAGUAGUUUCCUCCAAAGGAUCUGCAAAAGCAACAUUAAGAACUACUUGGCGCAGACGUGGAAAAGGUCCAAUGGAGUUCCCUCGGUUGACUGGUUUCUAGUAUCUACGGUGGAGGGCUGAAGCUUAAAACAUGGUUCUUGCCCACCAAUUUCUCAAUGAAAAGGACUAUGUUAUAAGAAAGUAAAGAUCUUACAGUUCUGAAAGUACCGUCCCUGAGAACCAAGGAUGUGAAGAAUUGCUGGUUGAAUUACCUCUGUCAAAUUUGAGACCCAAAAUAUAGCUCUUAAAGGGGAGAAAUGAGUUUCUUGCUCAAACUAUGUUUAGAAGUAUAACAAAAGAGACGAGGAUGAUGAAGAUGAAAAAACAGAAAUGUAAGAGAAGAAACAUGUAACAAAUAUGAAGAAGAUCAUGAGCACCUGAAGAAGGGAAAGAUUUCUGGGGAGGUGAGGAAGUUGUAAUGAUACAAAGGUAGGAGAAGACUAUGAGAAUCACCACAGUUUCUAUA